AGUGAACGCUGGCGGUAGGCCUAACACAUGCAAGUCGAACGGCAGCACAGUAAGAGCUUGCUCUUACGGGUGGCGAGUGGCGGACGGGUGAGGAAUACAUCGGAAUCUACUUUUUCGUGGGGGAUAACGUAGGGAAACUUACGCUAAUACCGCAUACGACCUACGGGUGAAAGCAGGGGAUCUUCGGACCUUGCGCGAUUGAAUGAGCCGAUGUCGGAUUAGCUAGUUGGCGGGGUAAAGGCCCACCAAGGCGACGAUCCGUAGCUGGUCUGAGAGGAUGAUCGGCCACACUGGAACUGAGAAACGGUCCAGACCCCUAGGGAGGCAGCAGUGGGGAAUAUUGGACAAAGGGCGCAAGCCUGAUCCAGCCAUACCGCGUGGGUGAAGAAGGCCUUCGGGUUGUAAAGCCCUUUUGUUGGGAAAGAAAAGCAGCAGGUUAAUACCCCGCUGUUCCGACGGUACCCAAAGAAUAAGCACCGGCUAACUUCGUG
rnacentral:rRNA from 1 species